CACAACAAUCCCAAUGUCAGCAGUGCCACGAGAUGAGACCCUCAGCCUUGAGAAACUGGAAAAGAUGAAGAGAGGAGAAAAUGAGCAGAGGGCACUGCCUGCUUAUGUCCAUGUGCUUCUUUUCCACCUCAGAAACAACACAGCAUCUUUUGUCGUCUUUGAUGCUGCCUCUCCCGUAUUGAUUACGCUUUAUUAUUCCUGAAGACUCGAGUGUGUGACGUAAGUAACCCUAUGUCGGACCCAAGCCCAGUAGGAUAAACGAAAACGGGAGGGCAAAUUGGAACAUGUACCGUAACAACGAGAGCAUUCUUUCUAUGACUUGAAAAAGUCUUCAGAUCCUUGGUUUAAUUUAAUCAGCAAUACGUUCAUCUGCAUAUGGCAUUUAGCAGCAAAGUAAACUUUUUUUCCUGAGUCGUUUGUUUCCAAAUCAGUGGGAACAAAGGAUAUCCCAGUUCCAUUCAAGCAGUUUCAAUGAUUCUCAAACAAACGUGGGAGUCAUAGCUGAGCCAUUUAAAAUAUACAGUGAUGAGAAAGCAUACUUGGUAAUCUUGUCAACAUUCCUUUAAGGAGAAUAUCCAAGUGUCCUUUUACUAUAAUAACGCUUUGUACUUUGAAAUGUUCAGAUGUCAAUAAAAUAGAAUUGAACACAACAGCCUAGAAGAAUGCCGUUUCCAAGUUUUCUAGUAAUGGUGCUGUGAAAACAGUAUGUAUUUUUCAGUUUAACACUCCGAAAAUCAAAUUUCCUCACCCCAAGAUUGGCUCCAUUUACACAAAAGCACUUUGGACCCAUAUUUAACCAACCAUCAAAAGUGAUUCAAAAGAAGGCUAAUUGAACACUGAGGUUUUUGAAGCUCUCAAAUGAUGACCCAGGUUUUUUCUUGAAAACACUCACAGCGGCAGCUUGGCAGGAAGCAGGAAUGAAACCUGCCCUCCAAACUGGAAGAAAAACUUCCAAUAACAAACUGCGAGGUUUGAGAUCACUGCAUGUUAUAUUAUUCAUUAUUCAAAUGGCCUCUAGCCCUAUUACACAGCCUUUUCUCUGGCGUCUGAGCUGCCCCAAGAAAUGUACUUUAGUAAGACCGAGCCCCCCUUUCAGAGGAAAGGAGAACCUCCUUAUCUCCGCGUUCUGCCUCCCUGUCUCUGCGUUCUAUCUGUUCUAUCUCUGUUCCAUCUGCGUGUUUUGCAAUCUCCUCAGUGUUCCAAAGGCCAAUGAAAUCUCUCUCCCACAGGGGCCAGCGAUGGCAGACCUCAACCAAAUAAAAGUUAUGCAAAGGCAAGCUGGAAAAUCUGCACAGGGGAGAUUUCACCAAGAGGAGAGGGGCCUGAUAUUUUCCGUCUAAAUCCUUAGGCCUCACUCCAGCCUACAAAGACAAGUGGCAGGAAACUUAACAGCGAUAAUCAAAUGAGCUCAGCCAGCCUCGGGAUGGUUCUUGUAAGAACUGUGUGUGUGGAGAAGGGAUGCAGGCUUUCUGCCCAGGAGAACCUAGAGAGAAAAAACUGCUCUUCCCAAAAUCCCUGAAGUCUGCUGCCAGGGGCUCAGUACAUGCCUGACCAAAAAGAGAAAACUGCCCACCUAACCGGUUCGGCUGUUUCCUGGCUACUACGGACAGAAGCAGACAGAACCUUAUCAUUUCAGUUAUGUCUAACUUGGACAUUAUUUUCAAGUAAAUAUUGGUAAUUUCAAGGCUCUUUCCUUGCCGUGUGACCUGGCGUGACGGACAAUGCUGUCUCCGAGGAAGCUGACUCCAUAGCAACAAGCCAGGGAAGCCUGCACCUUCCACCCAGGGGGCCUCCCACGAGCAUUUUGGAGACUCGGGACGUUGCAGUUAUCUUGUCAGGGGGUGGCUGAGGGAAGAAGCUUCUUCCUUUGCCCUCUGGGCCCCUCCCAGCGGUCUGGGUUUCUGUGGAUCACGCUGUGCUUCUCAAUGAAUCCAGCGCUGGGCAUUUUUCUCUUUUCAUUCAGGAAGUGGUGAGCUGAGCCCUGAGAUUCUUUCUGCUCCGAUGAUAUAAACAAAUUGUAGAGGAAGUCAAGUCAAAUUUUCCCUUGCUGGUUUUGUUCUCCCAACUAGCAAUUCAGAAAACAGAGCCAACUUUUUUUUUUUUUUUUUGGAUGCCUUUUAAAGAUUGCUGUUAACUGGAAAGACAAGAAACCCUUGUAG
rnacentral:lncRNA from 1 species